GUAGGGUGCGAGCGUUAAUCGGAAUUACUGGGCGUAAAGCGUGCGCAGGCGGUUGGGCAAGACCGAUGUGAAAGCCCCGGGCUUAACCUGGGAAUGGCAUUGGUGACUGCUCGGCUAGAGUGUGUCAGAGGGAGGUAGAAUUCCACGUGUAGCAGUGAAAUGCGUAGAGAUGUGGAGGAAUACCGAUGGCGAAGGCAGCCUCCUGGGAUAACACUGACGCUCAUGCACGUAAGCGUGGGGAGCAAACAGGAUUAGGUACCCUGGUAGUCCACGCCCCUAAACGAUGUCAACUAGUUGUCGGGGAUUAAUUUCCUUGGUAACGCAGCUAACGCGUGAAGUUGACCGCCUGGGAGUACGGUCGCAAGAUUA
rnacentral:rRNA from 1 species